AUCCCGUUGUCAUUUCUUGUUUGGUCCUGAACUUCACACUAGUUGGUCAUAUUAAUUUAAUUUCAAAUCCUGUACCUUUUAAUAUUUUCUGCUUCUUUAGAUUUACUAACGGCAAAGGAAAAUCAACUGGUUAAGCAUAUGGGACUCCGAUUCAGAUGCCGACAGCGAUACGUGUAGGUAUCUUCUAAAAGGCGUGUAGCGGCGGGUAAGAUGAAUUUAUUCUGAUAUUUAGGUGUAAUGUUUAUAGUUAUGAUUAAAAUGUAUAAUAUUAAAAUUACUCAUAUAGAAAAAAUAUCACAGUAUUUUAUUAAAUCAGUUAUCUGAUUUAAUUAAAACAAUUUGUUAAUUAUUAUAAAAAAUCAAUGAGUAAUGCAACACAUGCUGUAUAAGCUUGUUUUAUAUCAAAUGAACUUAUAAAAGUCACUAAUUGAUAAAUGAUAAUUCAGCUAGCAAAGUUUCUAUUAAUUAAAAUUGUUUCUUUUAUUAUUAAAAUAAAUCGUUAUAAAAUUCAUUUAUCUAAUUUUAUCUUAAUAAAAAAUUACUUUAUGGGAUAUUUUCAUUUGUGUCUUUUGCAGUUUGGUUUUAUCAUAUUCUUUUUGUAUAUGUGUGCAAUUUUGCAACUUAAUUUUUAACUAUGUCCAUCAUCAUUGAGCUAAAUUUUGUGUGCAGUUUUCGUGUUGUUAACGAUACUGUCUAGUACAUUUAAAACACCGUUUAAAUAAAAGCUUGUUUAAUUUAUUAUUCAUCGAAAUUUAUAAGUCAUGUUUUAAGUAGUUUAUUGUUGCGUUCAUAGUAAAAUUAAAUAGUUUAAGUUUUUUGUUAUAAUAAUUGUUUUAGAUGCUGGUCAAUGUUCUGUUUUAUGAAUUAUAUAAUUUUUAUCAAAUAUUC